AUUGAACGCUGGCGGCAUGCCUUACACAUGCAAGUCGAACGGUAACGCGGGGCAACCUGGCGACGAGUGGCGAACGGGUGAGUAAUGCAUCGGAACGUGCCCAGUAGUGGGGGAUAACUGCUCGAAAGAGCAGCUAAUACCGCAUACGACCUGAGGGUGAAAGCGGGGGAUCGCAAGACCUCGCGCUAUUGGAGCGGCCGAUGUCAGAUUAGGUAGUUGGUGGGGUAAAGGCCCACCAAGCCAACGAUCUGUAGCUGGUCUGAGAGGACGACCAGCCACACUGGGACUGAGACACGGCCAAGACUCCUACGGGAGGCAGCAGUGGGGAAUUUUGGACAAUGGACGCAAGCCUGAUCCAGCCAUGCCGCGUGUCUGAAGAAGGCCUUCGGGUUGUAAACUGCUUUUGUACGGAACGAAACGGUCCUGGUUAAUACCUGGGGCUAAUGACGGUACCGUAAGAAUAAGCACCGGCUAACUACGUGCCAGCCGCCGCCGUAAUAC
rnacentral:rRNA from 1 species